UGAGGAAAAGGGGCACGGACACCACCAUCAGCAGCCAGUCUAUGGCUAUCCCCAGCAAGGUUACUAUCCACCGCCACAAAACUACAAGCAAAAGAAGCGGUCAGGGGGGUUUCUCAGAGGCUGCUUGGCUGCGCUUUGUUGCUGCUGCCUGCUUGAUCAAUGCUGCUGCUGCUGCGAUCCAACCAUACUUUGUGGCUGCUAAAGAAAAUUCAUAUUUUUAUUCAUCGGGGAUGUAGAUAUUUCGUUAGUAGACAGCAUGUAACUCUUAUCCGAAGAUUGAAAUCUGCUCAAUUUAAUUUAUUUUUUUCAAGUAGAGCUACAUGGUUUAGCAACUUAUUCUCGCAUGGGGUGUAGAAUUUAGUAUACCUUGAAUUGACCAUGGUAAUCUUGACACCCAGAUUUUUAUAGAAAUCUGGGAUCAUUUGGAUCAAGGGAUGGAUGAAUUUAGUCAACUGGCCCGAGAAAAUGUCAUAGAUAAAAGCAUCAAUCCAUUGAUUCGUCAAUUCUUCUAAGAAA